CGCAUCCAGUCGGUGGUGUGCGGCGCGGCGGGGGCGGCGGGGGCGGGUGGGGCGGCGGGCGAGGCGCGCGCGGAGGACGCCUCCGUGUACUACGACGCGACCGACCACCAGCGGGACAAGCGUUCGUCGACUCGCAGCGCGGACAAGAGCCACAGCCCCGCCCUAGAGAGGACCAGACUCGAUGCUAUACAGGACAGAAGCAGUUCAAUUCGACGAGACGGCAGCGCCGCCGGAGACGCGUCGAGCCUUAGAGAUCGCUCGUCGGGCAGCGGGUCCCGCAUCCCGGUGGCGCGGGGCGGCGGGGGCGUGCCCGGGGCCGGCGGG